rnacentral:rRNA from 1 species
CAAUAGCGUAUAUUAAAGUUGUUGCAGUUAAAAAGCUCGUAGUUGGAUUUCUGGUUAAGUAUAACUCGGCCCGGAAGAAAUUGGGUUAGUUUGAUAAGGAGGAGAUUUAGAGGGUUUUCUUUCUUUCCCUUUUUUGGGGAGGAGAGUUAUUUUUUAUUUCUUUUUUCUUGUCUUUCUAACUUUUACUUUCGAUGUGCCUGAUGUUUCGUACUUACCAUCCUUUCUGGAAAGCCAUUCUACCCUUCAUUGGGACGGAAUGUUUUUUUUGCAAUCCAGAUCAUUUACUUUGAAAAAAUUAGAGUGUUUCAAGCAGGCUUACAGCUACUGAAUACAUUAGCAUGGAAUAAUAAGAUAGGACUUCUGUUUUCCUAUUUUGUUGGUCUCUAGGACGGAAGUAAUGAUUGAUAGGGAUAGUUGGGGGUGCUAGUAUUCAACGGCCAGAGGUGAAAUUCUUGGAUUCGUUGAAGACUAACUAAUGCGAAAGCAUUCACCAAGGAUGUCUUCUUUAA